rnacentral:rRNA from 1 species
AUGCAAGUCGAGCGGGGNGAGGUAGCUUGCUACUGGACCUAGCGGCGGACGGGUGAGUAAUGCUUAGGAAUCUGCCUAUUAGUGGGGGACAACAUCUCGAAAGGGAUGCUAAUACCGCAUACGUCCUACGGGAGAAAGCAGGGGAUCUUCGGACCUUGCGCUAAUAGAUGAGCCUAAGUCGGAUUAGCUAGUUGGUGGGGUAAAGGCCUACCAAGGCGACGAUCUGUAGCGGGUCUGAGAGGAUGAUCCGCCACACUGGGACUGAGACACGGCCCAGACUCCUACGGGAGGCAGCAGUGGGGAAUAUUGGACAAUGGGCGCAAGCCUGAUCCAGCCAUGCCGCGUGUGUGAAGAAGGCCUUAUGGUUGUAAAGCACUUUAAGCGAGGAGGAGGCUACUUUAGAUAAUACCUAGAGAUAGUGGACGUUACUCGCAGAAUAAGCACCGGCUAACUCUGUGCCAGCAGCCGCGGUAAUACAGAGGGUGCAAGCGUUAAUCGGAUUUACUGGGCGUAAAGCGCGCGUAGGCGGCUAAUUAAGUCAAAUGUGAAAUCCCCGAGCUUAACUUGGGAAUUGCAUUCGAUACUGGUUAGCUAGAGUGUGGGAGAGGAUGGUAGAAUUCCAGGUGUAGCGGUGAAAUGCGUAGAGAUCUGGAGGAAUACCGAUGGCGAAGGCAGCCAUCUGGCCUAACACUGACGCUGAGGUGCGAAAGCAUGGGGAGCAAACAGGAUUAGAUACCCUGGUAGUCCAUGCCGUAAACGAUGUCUACUAGCCGUUGGGGCCUUUGAGGCUUUAGUGGCGCAGCUAACGCGAUAAGUAGACCGCCUGGGGAGUACGGUCGCAAGACUAAAACUCAAAUGAAUUGACGGGGGCCCGCACAAGCGGUGGAGCAUGUGGUUUAAUUCGAUGCAACGCGAAGAACCUUACCUGGCCUUGACAUAGUAAGAACUUUCCAGAGAUGGAUUGGUGCCUUCGGGAACUUACAUACAGGUGCUGCAUGGCUGUCGUCAGCUC